rnacentral:rRNA from 1 species
AUCGGCGACUCUAGCGGAGAGGGUACACCCGUUCCCAUCCCGAACACGGAAGUUAAGCUCUCCAGCCCCGAUGAUACUGCGGGAGAAGUCUCGUGGGAAAGUAGGACGUCGCCGCUU